AAACAUCCAAAAACUCGAACAACUCUCUACAAACCAUAUCUCAUUUACAUAUAUAACUGUCAAUAUACAACUCUGCAUUACUUCUACAAAUACAUACUAGUAAUAUGUACAAAUACCAGUAUAUCAAGAGAGAUAUAAACAUGUUGUGCGCUCAUACAAAAAUAUCAUCUCUCUCAACAAAAGAUCAAAAUGGUUAUACACCAACAGACCGACCAUAUUAUCUACACCAGAAACUGUCCAAACUAAAUAAUGCUAGUGUUGUUCCUGAUCAUCACCAUCAAAAUCCUGAAGCUCAAUAUCUACGUUCCGAGACCAAAAAACGUACCCAACUGUGCAAAAACAACACAACUUGGCUCAACACAAAGCUGGAAUGAGUACUAUACUACUAAAGAAAACAACAAUUCAUUGGUCUCUUAACAUACAUGGCAGGACUGUAGUUCCUCACAACCAGGCAAUUCAGUUUCCCACCAUGUAUCACAUAUCCCAAAUAAAUCAAUAAUGUAAAAUAAAACCAAAUUUACCAUCACCUCUGCGAUCUGGUAGGGUAGGCAUCACCCUGCAAGAAAUUAUUAAGAGCCUACCCUCCUGCAAAAGAUAUCGUAAUAUUUACAGGAAUAAAGAAUAUAUUAACCAACUCGACGUAAAUAAAGAGAUUCCAUAAACUUAUCUAAUACCAACAGACAAGAAUUUAAACUUUAACAUGAAAGCGCGCAAACAAGCACAACCAUAGCAUCACGAAACCCAUAACUAGCCAGACUCCACGAAAGCCGCUCCUACACACAUUUCCAACUUACCCAGAUAUCCCUGGGGCCCUCACAUAUACCCAAUGACCACUUCAGGCUAGUAGACUGAUUCCCUUGAGGAGACUUAGGCAAACCAUCAAUGAAGUCCAUUGUAAUGUGUUCCCACUUCCACAUAGGAACCUCAAGCGGUUGUAACAAACCUGACGGCUUUUGAUGUUCAACUUUCACUUGUUGACAUGUAACACACUGCCCUACAUAUUCAACAACAUCUCUUUUCAUUCUUUCCCACCAAAAUGUCUGCCUCAGAUCAUGAUACAUUUUUGUUCCCCCUGGAUGAAUGAUGAAACGAGAGCGGUGUGCUUCAUAAAGAAUUUCCCUUUUCAGUUCAUCAUUAUCUGGUACGCACAAGCAGCCAUUAAACCUCGAUCCCCCAUCACAAUCUAUAGACCAUUCAGUAGGACAAUCAUCCAAAAGAUCAACGACCAGAUCAUCAAGUCGACUUAGCAAUUUAGGAUUAGCAAGUUGUCCAUUAAUUACCCGAGUAAUCAAAGAAGGGCGCACGGUCAAAACACCAAUAUAUACGCUGCCUCGUUACCAUGUACCGGUUGUUUAUCAUAGGCUGUAAGUGUCUCUAAUUGUUUCCACUCAUUCAUCAUCAUAAUAGCUAAUUCUCCAUGUUGUCGACUCAAGGCAUCCGCAACCACAUUCGCUUUGCCAGGAUGAUAUAAGAUCUGGAAAUCAUAGCAACUAAUGAAUUCAACCCACCUUUGCUGCCUUGUAUUCAGAUCUUUUUGAGAAAACAAAUAUUUCAAACUCUUGUGGUCUGUGUACAUAUCAAACUUUUCACCAUACAGAUAAUACCCCCAUAUCUCCUUUCAUGAGGCUUCAAUUGACAAGAAGCAUAUGCAACAACCUUUUGCUCCUUCAUUAAAACACAACCCAAACCAGUCCCACAUGCAUCAGUAUACACCACCAACUUCCCGCCUCUUAUUGGAAUAACCAAAAUAGGAGCAGCCGUCAACCGUCUUUUCAACUCUUGAAAAGACCUCUCACAAUUUUCAGUCCAUAAGAAUUUAACAUAUUUCUUUGUUAAUUGGGUUAAUGGAGCUGCAAGAAUAGAGAAUUUCUCGAUAAAGCGCCUAUAGUAACCUGCCAAACCUAGGAAACUCCGAAUCUCGGUAACUGUAGUAGGCCGCUUCCAAUCUUGUACAACUACAACUUUCUCUGGGUCUACACCAAUGCCCUUACAAGAUAUAAUAUGGCCUAAGAAUCUCACUUCUUUGUCCCUAAAGUGGCAUUUACUGAACUUGGCAUAUAAUUUCUGCUCCCUAAGCGUUUGCAAGACAAUCCUCAAGUGGUUCAUAUGCUCCUCUUGAUUCCGAGAAUACACCAGGAUGUCGUCAAUGAAAACUAUUACAAAUCGAUCAAGAUAUGGGCAGAAGAUUCGAUUCAUUAAUUCCAUAAAGAAAGCUGGAGCAUUGGUUAAUCCAAAUGGCAUGACUGGGUACUCAUACAGGCCAUAUCGAGUUCUAAAUGUAGUCAAAGGUAUACUAUUCUCCUCAACACCCAUUUGAUGAUACCCCGUCCUCAAGUCAAACUCAGAGAACACAAUUGCACGCCUUAGUUGAUCUAGAAGAUCAUCGAUACGUGGUAAGGGAUACUUGUUCUUUAUAGCGACGUUAUUCAGUUCACGAUAAUCAAUACACAUUCUAAGGGUACCAUCCUUCUUAGAGACAAAAAUGGCAGGUACUCCCCAUGGCGAGUUACUCGGCCAAAUAAAUCCCUUCUUGAGCAUUUUGUUUAGUUGGUUUUUCAUCUCUUCAAGCUCUUUGCGAGCCAUUCUAUAUGCCGCCCUUGAAAUAGGCGCAGUUCCAGGAAUAAGAUCACUAUGAAACUCAACCUCUCGCUUAAGAGGAAGCCUUGAAAUCUCCUCAAAUACAUCAGGGAACUCACAAACAACCUCAAUAUCAACAAGGUCCUUUUUAGGGAUCUCCAAAGAACACAAGAAACUCGUCAGUACGCAGUCUCUGGGAUUCACAAAAACAUGAGUCAACCUUGGCCUCCCAAGAAUCCUUAAGACAAUUAAAUUAGCGGCACAAUCCAAAACAGCAUAGUUUUUUCUUAACCAAUUCAUCCCUAAGAUAAGAUGAAAUCCUUUGAAACCAAGUACAACCAAGUCCACAGUAAAUACACAACGUGCAAAUUGAAAUUGAAAAUCUUUACACUGAUCAUACAAAAUUAUACAAAGUAGUAGAACCCCCAGUAGGCGUUUGUACACACAAAGGCAUCACUAAGGAAUUGUCGUAAGACGCUUCCUCUCUACUAACUGGCGAGAAAUAAAAGAAUACGAGGCACCCGUAUCAAAUAGCACACAAAACUAGAACUAUCUGAAAAUAUGGUACCUUGUAAUGCAUCUUGAUCUGUAUAGACAACAAAAAUCUGCGCUGGAACAUGUCCACCAGGUUUGCCUCUCUGAAUUUUCUGCCCCCGCUUCUUUUGUGGACAAUUCUGAGCUCUAUGACCAAUCUGUCGGCAUUCCCAACAAGGACCCUGAAAUGGUUGAGGUGUGGCUUCCAUCGCUGCUACUAAAGGUGGUGCUGGUAAUGGUGCAUAUGCAGGACGAUAUUCUAUUAUUUUCUCAGUCAUUGCUGGUUCUUGGUAACCUCCCUUAGGUUUAUGCGGAUUAGGAUCAUAAGGUUCAUACCGCUCUUUAUCUUUCUGGUCACCAUGAGAUUUCCACCCUCGAGAAGAGUCGCCAGAUUUUUCAUUACCUUUAAACUUCUUAUGUUCUUUCUCCUUUUCCUCGAGCAUCAAUGCAAUAUCCAGAACAUUUUCAAAGGACUCUCUGAAGAAUGGAAGAAUUGCUCGAGAGAUAAAAUAGUUCAAUCCACGAAUGAACUUCUCAUUCUUCCUUUUCUCCGUAUCAAUCAGAUUAGGAGCAAAGCGAGACAACUCAUUAAAGCAAGCGACAUAAGCACUAACUGACAUAUUCCCUUGCACCAAACGAGCAAACUCUUCAGCCAACUGGGAUUGUACAGCAUAUGGAAUAAACUUACUGAAAACCUGCUCUUUGAAAUGUUCCCAUCUGAAUGUAGCUAAAGGCAAACUCGUCUUAAUCGACCUCAACCAUAGUAAAGCUGAACCUGUCAGUUGAUGUGCUGCCAACUCAAAUUUCUAUACCUCUGAUAAGGUCAUACGCUCGAAAAUAUUCUCACACUCCUCUAACCACUUGUAGGCGACAAUCGCAAUUUCAACCUCAUCUCCACUGAAUUUCUGACCUCCCAAUCCUUUGAAAUCUUUAUUACGUUUUGCAAAGGGAUCGCCACUAGUUCCAACUCGAUCAUCAUGUAAAGAUUGCACCAACUGUUGACGAUCCUCUUGCAUAGACUUAAUAAACUGCAUAAGCACAUCCCUUGGAAUCGCACCAGUAGCAGUCCCACUACUCUGAGGUAUUUCACCUCCUCCAGCCAUAACCUUCAAAACCAAUGAAGCAUAUAUCAAUAUCUCCCCAACUUAAUCCAAUAAUAUUGAAAUCCAUCAAACAAUGCACUUAAUCAUCAAUAUCAUAUGUUAGCGGUCAAAAUCUCAGAUAGCACAAAAUCUCAAACAAACCCAUUUGCCACAUUCCGAGAAUCGCUUAGACCUUCUCGGCCUAAUUCAACCUAAAGCUCUGAUACCAAUCUGUCACACCCCAAAUUUAAGAACAAUUAUGUGCACCCGACAUGUGGUGCAAUAACUUGUCACAAAACUCGAGGCAUGAAGGUAACGACAACUAAGUCCAGACUGGAGAAGUAAAUUAUACAAAGUUGUAGGUAACCCAAAAAAGACGGAAUAAAACAUCCAAAAACUCGAACAACUCUCUACAAACCAUAUCUCAUUUACAUAUAUAUAACUGUCAAUGUACAACUCUGCAUUACUUCUCCAAAUACAUACUAGUAAUAUGUACAAAUACCAGUACAUCAAGAGAGAUAUAAACAUGUUGCGCGCUCAUACAAAAAUACCAUCUCUCUCAACAAAAGAUCAAAAUGGUAAUACACCAACAGACCGACCAUAUUAUCUACACCAGAAACCGUCCAAACUAAAGAACGCUAGUGCUGCUCCUGAUCAUCACCAUCAAAAUCCUGAAGCUCAACAUCUACGUUCUGAGACCAAAGAACGUACCCAACCGUGCAAAAACAACACAACUUGGGUCAGCACAAAGCUGGAAUAUGUACUAUACUACUAAAGAAAACAACAAUUCAUUGGUCUCUUAACAUACAUGGCAGGACUGUAGUUCCUCACAACCAGGCAAUUUAGUUUCCCACCAUGUAUCACAUAUCAAUAAUGUAAAAUAAAACCAAAUUUACCAUCACCUCUGCGAUCUGGUAGGGUGGUAUCACCCUGCAAGAAAUUAUUAAG
rnacentral:lncRNA from 1 species